rnacentral:lncRNA from 1 species
CCUGCAGGCCCGGGCGGGCGUCGUGCGCGGGCUGUCGCUAACGCGGGCUCAGGGCCGUCCGCCGCAGUGAGCCCCUUUCUUUCCUGCUUUGCCUGUGGUCGGCGCGGCGCCCGCGUUAAGAGCUUCCGGCUCCUCGACAGCUGCACUCCCGGCUUGCCCGGGCGCACCGAGGGGCCCCGGAACCCCUUAGCCGCACGCCGUUGGACUCGCCCGCGUUCUGGCCCACGCCUGCUCCCGGGUGACAACGCCUAGCUAGCGCCAGCCGCAGGGGGUUUGCGCUCGGCCCUCAGAUGCCACCCCGCGCGGAAAUCGGGAAAACCGUAUGGGACUGGACCAGGAUGAAGGAUCCCGGGGUGACCUAGGAACCCAGACGUAGCUGCGGGGCAGGGGAAAAAGCCAUCUUACAAAGAGGAGGCAAAAAAGUCCCAUGUAUAGGAAGUGGUACACUUAACAGAAAGGGUUUUACAAGCCGCCUCUAAACACACGACUUACUCUUUAGAAGGAAAAGUGAAAUUCUUCUGAGCCAGGGAGGACGUGUGUGUACAGAUAAACAGAUUUAUUUAAAUUAAAUUGAGAGGCAGUUGAAAGUUCCUUAAAAGUCCAGGCUCUCAGAGAGAGCCCAUCUACCACACUAAUACUAUGGAUUAAGAAUAUUAAGAACUGAAAUUAUUUUUCUUUAUUUUGCAGUCAAUAAGCAGAAAUCGUAAAAUGAAGAUUUCGUCAUUUAGAUUAUGCUCAUUUUUAAAGUUAUUUUAAUUUUCAAAUUCAGUGUCUCAAGUAUAGACUGGCACAGUGUUUAAAUACUGCUAGCUUUGCUUUGAAUUGUGACCAUGGUUUGCCAUUAAAAUAUUUUAAAAC